GAAUGAGGCAAGACCCUUCGAGGCGAUUGGCUCACCUGACCUUCACCUCCUCGUGCACGACCCUGACAGUAGGGUCCCCAAGGGCUUUGGAACUGCGGGAUUGGGACACGUGACUUCCCUGGUCAUUCACCUUGAAGUGGACACGGGCUGGGAUGGAGUCUUGCUCUGUCGCCCAGGCUGGAGUGCAGUGGCGCGAUCUCGGCUCACUGCAAACUCUGCCUCUCGGGUUCACGCCAUUCUCCUGCCUCAGCCUCCCGAGUAGCUGGAACUACAGAGAGGGCAUUUCAUCAUGUUGCCCAGGCUGAUCUCAAACUCCUGGGCUUGUGUCCGAAACUGGUGAGUGCUUGGUCUCACUGACUUCAAGAAGGAAGCCGCGGACCCUCGCAGUGAGUGUUACAGCUCUUAAGGUGGUGCAUCUGGAGUUUGUUCCUUCUGAUGUUCAGAUGUGUUCGCAGUUUCUUCCUUCUGGUGGGUUCGUGGUCUCGCUGGCUGAGGAGUGAAGCUGCAGACCUUCGCGGUGAGUGUUAUAGCUCUU
rnacentral:lncRNA from 1 species